rnacentral:rRNA from 1 species
GUGCCAGCAGCCGCGGUAAUACGUAGGGCGCAAGCGUUAUCCGGAAUUAUUGGGCGUAAAGAGCUCGUAGGCGGUCUGUCGCGUCUGCUGUGAAAACCCGAGGCUCAACCUCGGGCCUGCAGUGGGUACGGGCAGACUAGAGUGCGGUAGGGGAGAUUGGAAUUCCUGGUGUAGCGGUGGAAUGCGCAGAUAUCAGGAGGAACACCGAUGGCGAAGGCAGAUCUCUGGGCCGUAACUGACGCUGAGGAGCGAAAGGGUGGGGAGCAAACAGGCUUAGAUACCCUGGUAGUCCACCCCGUAAACGUUGGGAACUAGUUGUGGGGUCCAUUCCACGGAUUCCGUGACGCAGCUAACGCAUUAAGUUCCCCGCCUGGGGAGUACGGCCGCAAGGCUAAAACUCAAAGGAAUUGACGGGGACCCGCACAAGCGGCGGAGCAUGCGGAUUAAUUCGAUGCAACGCGAAGAACCUUACCAAGGCUUGACAUAUAGAGGAAACGUCUGGAAACAGUCGCCCCGCAAGGUCUCUAUACAGGUGGUGCAUGGUUGUCGUCAGCUCGUGUCGUGAGAUGUUGGGUUAAGUCCCGCAACGAGCGCAACCCUCGUUCUAUGUUGCCAGCACGUAAUGGUGGGAACUCAUGGGAUACUGCCGGGGUCAACUCGGAGGAAGGUGGGGAUGACGUCAAAUCAUCAUGCCCCUUAUGUCUUGGGCUUCACGCAUGCUACAAUGGCCGGUACAAAGGGCUGCAAUACCGUGAGGUGGAGCGAAUCCCAAAAAGCCGGUCCCAGUUCGGAUUGAGGUCUGCAACUCGACCUCAUGAAGUCGGAGUCGCUAGUAAUCGCAGAUCAGCAACGCUGCGGUGAAUACGUUCCCGGGUCUUGUACACACCGCCCGUCAAGUCAUGAAAGUCGGUAACACCUGAAGCCGGUGGCCCAACCCUUGUGGAGGGAGCCGUCGAAGGUGGGAUCGGUAAUUAGGACUAAGUCGUAACAAGGU